UUGUCUCUCUUGAGUGGAUCCUGAGUACGACGGAGCACGUGAAAUUCCGUCGGAAUCUGGGAGGACCAUCUCCUAAGGCUAAAUACUCUCUAGUGACCGAUAGUGAACCAGUACCGUGAGGGAAAGGUGAAAAGCACCCCGGAAGGGGAGUGAAAUAGAACCUGAAACCGUGUGCUUACAAGUAGUCAGAGCCCGUUAAUGGGUGAUGGCGUGCCUUUUGUAGAAUGAACCGGCGAGUUACGAUUUGAUGCAAGGUUAAGCAGUAAAUGUGGAGCCGUAGCGAAAGCGAGUCUGAAUAGGGCGUUUAGUAUUUGGUCGUAGACCCGAAACCAGGUGAUCUACCCUUGGUCAGGUUGAAGUUCAGGUAACACUGAAUGGAGGACCGAACCGACUUACGUUGAAAAGUGAGCGGAUGAACUGAGGGUAGCGGAGAAAUUCCAAUCGAACCUGGAGAUAGCUGGUUCUCUCCGAAAUAGCUUUAGGGCUAGCCUCAAGUGAUGAUUAUUGGAGGUAGAGCACUGUUUGGACGAGGGGCCCCUCUCGGGUUACCGAAUUCAGACAAACUCCGAAUGCCAAUUAAUUUAACUUGGGAGUCAGAACAUGGGUGAUAAGGUCCGUGUUCGAAAGGGAAACAGCCCAGACCACCAGCUAAGGUCCCAAAAUAUAUGUUAAGUGGAAAAGGAUGUGGCGUUGCCCAGACAACUAGGAUGUUGGCUUAGAAGCAGCCAUCAUUUAAAGAGUGCGUAAUAGCUCACUAGUCGAGUGACACUGCGCCGAAAAUGUACCGGGGCUAAACAUGUUACCGAAGCUGUGGAUUGUCCUUUGGACAAUGGUAGGAGAGCGUUCUAAGGGCGUUGAAGCAUGAUCGUAAGGACAUGUGGAGCGCUUAGAAGUGAGAAUGCCGGUGUGAGUAGCGAAAGACGGGUGAGAAUCCCGUCCACCGAUUGACUAAGGUUUCCAGAGGAAGGCUCGUCCGCUCUGGGUUAGUCGGGUCCUAAGCUGAGGCCGACAGGCGUAGGCGAUGGAUAACAGGUUGAUAUUCCUGUACCACCUAUAAUCGUUUUAAUCGAUGGGGGGACGCAGUAGGAUAGGCGAAGCGUGCGAUUGGAUUGCACGUCUAAGCAGUAAGGCUG
rnacentral:rRNA from 1 species